UACGUAGGGGCGAGCGUUGUCCGGAUUUAUUGGGCGUAAAGAGCUCGUAGGCGGUUCGAUAAGUCGGACGUGAAAUCUCCACGCUCAACGUGGAGGGGCCGUUCGAUACUGUCGUGACUCGAGUCCGGUAGGGGAGUGUGGAAUUCCCGGUGUAGCGGUGAAAUGCGCAGAGAUCGGGAGGAACACCCGUAGCGAAGGCGGCACUCUGGGCCGGUACUGACGCUGAGGUGCGAAAGCGUGGGGAGCAAACAGG
rnacentral:rRNA from 1 species